UCUUCUGACACAUUGAAAGUCGGGACCUUUCACUGAAAAGAUUUAAUAGACCUUGGUAUUUGGACUGUGCAAACGCAGCAUAAUCAUUAGGCUUUUAAUUGAGGACUGCAAUGAAGGUUUGACAAAGUAGUUACUGUCUCUAAUAUAAUUAAUUGAAUUUUACUKUCAAUUAAAAGGCUUAAAUAUUGAUAAGGGACAUGAAGAACCUAUAGAUCUUUUUGAUGAAUUUUACUAUUAAUUUUAGGUGUAUAAUUAUUUUGUGAAUUUUUAUCAUUUUAUUGGGGUGAAUAAGAAUAUCAAUAAUGAAUAUAUGAUCCUUUUUUAUGGAAUAAAGAAUAAGAUGCCCUAAGGACAAGAGCAUCAUUUUGUCGGAGAGUUCUUAUUGAUAAUAUAGAUGGCGACCUGGAAGUUGGAUUAAGAAUGUAUGUUGGUGUAGGUGCUGAUAUUAUUGAUCUGUUC
rnacentral:rRNA from 1 species